ensembl:misc_RNA 7SK 7SK RNA
GGAUGUGAGGGAGAUCUGGCUGUGACAUCUGUCACCUCAUUGAUCGCCAGGGUUGAUUCCCCUGAUCUGGCUGGUUAGGUGGGUGUCCGCUUCCUCCCUCACUGCUCCAUGUGCAUCCCUCCUGAAGCUGCGUGCUCUGUGGAAGAGGACAACCUUCCCCGAAUAGAAACGGACUGGUCUUCGGUCGAGGGUACAUGAGUAGCUGCGAUCCCCUGCUAGAACCUCCAAACAAGCUCUCAAGAUCCAAUGAAGGGGAUGGGAUAUGGAACUCUGGUGGUGGGAAUUAUGUAAUUGUACCCUCUUAUC